rnacentral:rRNA from 1 species
AGCCCCCNUUCGGNUAAUUCCAGCUCCAAUAGCGUAUAUUAAAGUUGUUGCAUUUUAAAAAGCUCGUAGCUGAAUUUCGGGGUCAGCAGGUUGGUCGUGCCUCUGGUAUGCACUGGUUUCGCUGAUUCCUCCUUUCUGAAGAACUGUAAUGUCAUUAAUUUGGUGUUGCAGGGAAACAGGACUGUUACUUUGAAAAAAUUAGAGUGUUUAAAGCAGGCUAACGCUUGAAUACAUUAGCAUGGAAUAAUGAAAUAGGACGUUUGAUCCUAUUUUGUUGGUUUCUAGGAUUGACGUAAUGAUUAAUAGGGAUAGUUGGGGGCAUUAGUAUUCAAUUGUCAGAGGUGAAAUUCUUGGAUUUAUUGAAGACUAACUACUGCGAAAGCAUUUGCCAAGGAUGUUUUCAUUAAUCAAGAACGAAAGUUAGGGGAUCGAAGACGAUCAGAUACCGUCGUAGUCUUAACCAUAAACUAUGCCGACUAGGGAUCGGAUGAUGUUAAUUUUUUAAUGACUCA